rnacentral:lncRNA from 1 species
UCAUCCAUUAAUUUCCAAUUUUUCUCAGGGGUCAUCUGCCCAUGAAAAUUCCAAUGAGGUUAAAUUCAAAUCUCUCAAACACAAAUUCUCAAUUAGUGGGCCACACUUACCCAUUAAUUUUCAUAUCAAUUUCCGAACUACGUUGGUUUGAUCCCGUCAAGGGUAUGUAUGUAGUCUAGCAUCCUAGUAGACGCAACCGCAACCAAAUUUGAA